rnacentral:rRNA from 1 species
GAUGAACGCUAGAUACAGGCUUAACACAUGCAAGUCGAGGGGAAACGAUAUUGGAAGCUUGCUUCCGAUAGGCGUCGACCGGCGCACGGGUGAGUAACGCGUAUCCAACCUGCCCACCACUUGGGGAUAACCUUGCGAAAGUAAGACUAAUACCCAACGAUAUCUCUAGAAGACAUCUGAAGGAGAUUAAAGAUUCAUCGGUGAUGGAUGGGGAUGCGUCUGAUUAGCUUGUUGGCGGGGUAACGGCCCACCAAGGCGACGAUCAGUAGGGGUUCUGAGAGGAAGGUCCCCCACAUUGGAACUGAGACACGGUCCAAACUCCUACGGGAGGCAGCAGUGAGGAAUAUUGGUCAAUGGGCGAGAGCCUGAACCAGCCAAGUAGCGUGCAGGAUGACGGCCCUAUGGGUUGUAAACUGCUUUUAUAAGGGAAUAAAGUGAGUCUCGUGAGACUUUUUGCAUGUACCUUAUGAAUAAGGACCGGCUAAUUCCGUGCCAGCAGCCGCGGUAA